GAGUUGGGACCACUGAAGGACUCUGGAAGGUUCACAGUGGAGGCACUGAGAAAGAUGUACUGGAGGGGAUGAGGGGAGGGGAGGAAAGACAGUUAAGAAACUUUUGGAGUGAUUCAAAUGUCAGACGGGGCUGGGGUAAGGGUCAUCUUGAAGUCUUCUUCACUCACAUGUCUGGUGCUUGGGCUGGGAGAACUCAAACAGCUGGGGCUUCUCUGACAUCUCUCUCUCCAUGUGGUCUCUCCACUUGAGCUCUCAACAUGAGGUCUCAGGGACACUAGACUUCUCACCUAGCAACUGACAAGUGUCCCAAGAGAAGCUGCAAACAGGAACAGCAUUUGUUUUUAUAAACCUGGCCUUGGAAGUCAUUUAGCCUUGCUUCCAUUGCAAAGACCUGACCCGGUUAAAGGGAAAAAAUAUAAUCCAUCUCUUGAUGGGAGAGGUGUCAAAAAAUUUGUGGCAUAUUAUAAAACCACCACCUUGUCCUGACCCAGCAAACCUGGAGCAUGUAGCAUCUUAGAAGAUGUCUGGGUUUGAGUACUAAGGGCUGCAAGCUGGGAGAACAUAGCAUCUUGACUCCUUGAAGGACGAAACCAGUCUGCACAGUGACCUGGGACCUGGAGGCUUCUCAGCAGAGUGGACCAGAGUCAGGCCUGAAGAGUGAAGAGCCAGCUUCUCCAUAGUGACUCCAUGUGACAGAGACUGGGAACAGCAGGAGUGAGAUGACUGGACUCCCAGUUCAGAGGUCUAUGUGAGGGUUCCUGGUUGCAGACCACAGAAGCCAAUCUAAUUGUUUAACGAAAAAAAGAUGUUUUCAAAGAUAUUAUGCAGUUCACUGAAUCUCCAGGAAAGCCAGAGUGUUGGCUAUGCAUCUGGGCAUAAUGCUCAAAGACUACUAUAGGACUGCUUAUAAAGACUACCACUACCAGGAGCUUGGGUCCCAGGCUCCAUUUACAGCUUGCACUGAGGCUUGGCACUGGAUGCUACUGCUUGACCCUCUGCCACUACUGCUUCUUUGAGUUAGUAUGGCCUUUCCUCAAGGUGGUCAACAAACAGAGCUCAUGAGAUGUGGAGUGCUGCCAUCAUCUUAUAUUUAACCAUGGCCUCAAAGUUCAUUAUCCUAUGAGGGAGAUGGAAAACUAAAUUAUAAAGCUGCACUUUGCCAGGUAUGGAUGGAGAGGAAAACUCAAGGGAGACUCAUAAAUCAGCCUGAAGUGUCAAAGAAGGCUUCCCCAGAGGUGAGCUUAAUCUGAAUUAUGGAAGAAAUUUCCAGGCAGAUAUAAAUGCAGGGCUCUGUGGCUUGAGGAGCCAAGUACAAAAGGGGACAGACAGUAGUUCAGCAUGACUGGAGCCCAGGGUGCAGGGGAGGAGCUGGAGAGAGAGGAAAGGGCAGAUCAGAGAGGGCUUCAUGCCAGAGUUGGGACCACUGAAGGACUCUGGAAGGUUCACAGUGGAGGCACUGAGAAAGAUGUACUGGAGGGGAUGAGGGAAGGGUAGGAAAGACAGUUAAGAAACUUUUGGAGUGAUCCAAAUGAAAAAUGAUGAAGGUACAAACUACAGCAGGGCACUUUUAAAGAGGGUGGUCCUGAUUCCAGAUAAGUUAAGGAAAAUAGAUGGCAGCUGGGGACAUAAAGAGGUGACAGGGCACUAGGAAAAAGGGUAGGAGUCUAGAAUAACUCCCAAGUUUUCUCUUGGAUAGUGAGAUGGUUGCUGUUGCCAUUGAUCGAAGAAAUAAAGGAAACAGAGAGAGAAGCAGGUUUGGUUAGUUAAGGAUAUUUUGAAGCUGUGAGGUUUUUGGGAGCCUAGGAAAGAUGUAUAGGAUGCAGUAGGAAAUAUGAACCUGAAAAAUCUGGUUCUAGAUUUCUGGAAGUAGCCAGAAACCCAACCUAGAGAAACCACAUACACCUGAAUUAAUCCUGAUGGUCUAAAACCCUGCAAUUGCACCCAAGUGGGUUCCUUUCCAUCUUGUCCAGUGCACCCUCUCUGUGUGCUGAGUAAUCUUACAUUCUGCCCACUGAGAUCACUUGAAAAUCUCUUCCUUGAUUGCUGUGUUUGAGUGUUUGUGUUCUCCCAAAACUCAUAUGUUGAAAUCCUAAUGCCCAAUGUAAUGGUAUUAGGAAGUGGGGUCUUUGGAAGGUGUUUGGGUCAUGAGGGUGGAGCCCUUAUGAAUGGAAUUACUAUUUUUACAAUAGAGACUCCAGAAACCCCACCUCUCUCCCACCGUGUGAGGGUCAGUCGUGUACAAACUGGAUGACAGCCUUCUCCAGGACCUAACUACUCUGGUGCCCUGAUCUUCAACUUCCAGCCUUCAGAACUGUGAGAAAUAAACUCCUGUUGUUUAUAAAUCACCCAAUCAGUGGUAUUUUGUUACAGCAGCCCAUACAGUCUAAA
rnacentral:lncRNA from 1 species